CUGCCUGCGCCUGCUGCGGCGAGAUAUAGUGGACGUGCGCGUCGAUGCCGCCUGCAGUCAGGAUGAGGUGCUCACCUGAGAUAGCGUCGGUUCCCGGUCCGAGUGCAAGCCCCGGCGUCACGCCGGACAUCGUAGAUGGGUUGCCAGCCUUGCCGAUGCCACAGAUCAGGCCGUCCUUGAUGCCCACAUCGGCCUUGAUGACGCCCUGCACCGCGUCGAUGAUGGUGACAUUGGUAAUGACGAGAUCUGGAGCGCCGGCCGCGCUGGUGAGCUCGUUGUCAUAGCCCAUGCCGUCGCGCAG
rnacentral:sRNA from 1 species